rfam:Sebaldella termitidis ATCC 33386, complete genome.
AAGAAAAGCGCUAAGGGCACACGGAGGAUGCCUAGGCAACAAGAGCCGAUGAAGGACGUGAUAAGCUGCGAAAAGCUUAGGGGAGCUGCAAAGAAGCUUUGAUCCUAAGAUGUCCGAAUGGGAGAACCUAAAUACCUGGAGGGUAUUUACGAAAGAGGUAAGCGGGUGAACUGAAACAUCUAAGUAACCCGAGGAAGAGAAAGUAAAAACGAUUCUCUGAGUAGCGGCGAGCGAAAGGGGAAGAGCCUAAACCACAUAAGUGUAUAAGCGAGCAGCGUUGCUUGUGUGGGGUAGUGGGAGUUUAAUGACGGAUAGCUCUGAAGUCAAUAUAUACGAAAUAGAAUUAGAAUGUAUCUGGGAAGGUAAACCAUAGAAGGUGAAAGUCCUGUAUGAGUAAUAUUGAGUGUAUAUAUUAAAUAUCCCGAGUAGCAUCGAGCACGAGGAAUUCGGUGUGAAUCAGCGAGGACCAUAUCUCGUAAGGCUAAAUACUCUUGUUGACCGAUAGAGGAGAGUACCGUGAGGGAAAGGUGAAAAGAACCCUGUGUAAGGGAGUGAAAUAGAACCUGAAACCGUGUGCUUACAAACGGUAGGAGCCCUUCGGGGUGACUGCGUGGAUUUUGGUUAAUCAUCCUGCGAGUUAUGAUAUGUGGCAAGGUUAAGGAAGCGGAGCCGAAGGGAAACCGAGUCUUAAUAGGGCGAUAGUCGCAUGUUAUAGACGCGAAACCUAGUGAUCUAGGCCUGUCCAGGUUGAAGCUAAGGUAAGACUUAGUGGAGGACCGAACUCACCAUCGUUGAAAUGCUGGGAGAUGAGAUAGGUUUAGGGGUGAAAAGCCAAUCGAACUAGGAGAUAGCUCGUUCUCUCCGAAAUGCAUUUAGGUGCAGCCUUAACAAAGAACUAUGGGGGUAGAGCACUGUAUGGCCUAGGGGGCGUAUAGCUUACUGAAGUCAAGCAAACUGCGAAUACUAUAGUUUAAUUGUUAGGAGUGAGUCUGUGGGUGACAAGGUCCGCAGACGAGAGGGAAACAGCCCAGACCACCAGCUAAGGUCCCUAAUUAUGUCUAAGUGGGGAAGGAGGUGGACAUUCAGAAACAACCAGGAGGUUGGCUUAGAAGCAGCCAUACCUUUAAAGAGUGCGUAAUAGCUCACUGGUCGAGAGUGUCUGCGCCGAAGAUGUAACGGGGCUAAGACAUAAACCGAAGCUGUGGAAACUAACGUAAGUUAGUUUGGUAGGAGAGCGUUCUGUAGGCCGAAGAAGGUGUGCUGUAAGGCAUGCUGGAGGUAUCAGAAGUGAGAAUGCAGGAAUGAGUAGCGAGAAAGAGGGUGAGAAUCCCUCUGGCCGGAAGUCCAAGGUUUCCAAAGGAAGGUUUGUCCGCUUUGGGGGAGUCGGGACCUAAGUUGAGGCUGAAAAGCGUAGGCGAAUGGAAAAUAGGUUAAUAUUCCUAUACCACUGUUAUUUGUUUGAGAGAUGGAGUGACGCAGAAAGGUAUGUAAGCAUACUGACGGAAUAGUAUGUCGAAGAGAGUAGCAUGAUUAGGUAGGUAAAUCCGCCUGAUUAAAUGUGAGACUUGAUAGGGAGCUUCUAAGGAAGCGAAGUUACAAAUCCUAUGCUGCCGAGAAAAACUUCUAUUUAGAAUAAUAGUGCCCGUACUGUAAACCGACACAGGUGGACUGUGUGAGAAACAUAAGGCCGACAAGAUAACUCUAGCUAAGGAACUCUGCAAAAUGGCCCCGUAACUUCGGGAGAAGGGGUACCUAUGUUAUGUGAAGGAAGAAACGUCCGGAGCAGAAGUAGGUCGCAGUGAAGAGUCCCAAGCAACUGUUUACCAAAAACACAGGUCUAUGCUAAGCUGAAAGGCGACGUAUAUGGGCUGACACCUGCCCAGUGCUGGAAGGUUAAGAGGAGGAUUGAGAGAUUCGAAUUGAAGCCCCAGUGAACGGCGGCCGUAACUAUAACGGUCCUAAGGUAGCGAAAUUCCUUGUCGGGUAAGUUCCGACCUGCACGAAUGGUGAAAUGAUUUGGGAGCUGUCUUGGCUGGAGACUUGGUGAAGUUGUAAUGGCGGUGAAGAUACCGACUACCUGCAGUAGGACGGAAAGACCCCGUGGAGCUUUACUGUAGCUUGGCAUUGGGUUUUGGCAAUGUGUGUAUAGGAUAGUUGGGAGACGUUGAAUUUAUGGCGCUAGCUGUAAAGGAGUCACUGGUGGAAUACCAACCAUAUAUUGUCGGAAUUCUAAUCAUGGGUUUGUAACCUGUGAGACAGUGCUAGGUGGGCAGUUUGACUGGGGCGGUCGCCUCCUAAAGAGUAACGGAGGCGUUCAAAGGUUCCCUCAGGUUGGAUGGAAAUCAACCGAAGAGUGCAAAGGCAUAAGGGAGCUUGACUGCGAGACUGACGGGUCGAGCAGGCGCGAAAGCGGGACUUAGUGAUCCGGCGGUACCGAAUGGAAGGGCCGUCGCUCAACGGAUAAAAGCUACCCCGGGGAUAACAGGCUGAUACUUCCCAAGAGUCCAUAUCGACGGAAGUGUUUGGCACCUCGAUGUCGGCUCGUCUCAUCCUGGGGCUGGAGAAGGUCCCAAGGGUUGGGCUGUUCGCCCAUUAAAGAGGCACGCGAGCUGGGUUCAGAACGUCGUGAGACAGUUCGGUCCCUAUCCACUGCAGGCGUAAGAAUAUUGAGAAGAUCUGUCCUUAGUACGAGAGGACCGGGAUGGACAAACCUCUGAUGAAUCAGUUGUCACGCCAGUGGCACAGCUGGGUAGUCACGUUUGGAAGGGAUAAUCGCUGAAAGCAUCUAAGUGAGAAGCCCACUUCAAGAUGAGUAUUCUACCUUUAUGGUUAAGUCACCUUCGAGACUAGGAGGUUGAUAGGCUGGAGGUGUAAGUAUAGUGAUAUAUUUAGCUGACCAGUACUAAUAUGACGAAGCUUUUUAAAA